rnacentral:rRNA from 1 species
AGCGAACGCUGGCGGCAGGCCUAACACAUGCAAGUCGAACGAACUCUUCGGAGUUAGUGGCGGACGGGUGAGUAACACGUGGGAACGUGCCUUUUGGUUCGGAAUAACUCAGGGAAACUUGUGCUAAUACCGAAUGUGCCCUUCGGGGAAAGGAUUUAUCGCCAUUAGAGCGGCCCGCGUCUGAUUAGCUAGUUGGUGAG